AUAUUUACCUGGCCAAGGUGAUUCUGUGAUUGAAGGUGGUUUCCCCAGAGUGACGCUUAUCUUAUCCAUUUUACUCAAUGGGCUGAUGCCUGCAAUUUCUGCAAAUGUCAGAAACUGGACUGCAUAAUUUGUGACAGUAGGGGACUUUGUUCAAGCUCUCCCCUA